GGACGCCAUGCGCAAAACGUGAGGAGAAAGAUGGGAACAGUGUUUGGAGAAUGAAAGACCACACACACACACACACACACACACACACACUUACAAAGCAGGUCCUCAACAAAAGGCUCCCCUAAAUUGACUAUUGAUCUGCAAAGCUAAAGGAUUCACCCCGUUUAUGUAGAAGAGACAGUUAGAGGCACCUUCUCAUAAGCACUCAGAGUUCUUCUAGAGGGCAUAUUGGAAAGGGUUGCGAUCGUUUUCUCCAUCAGACUGAUGGACUGUCCUCCAGACCUUGGGCGACUGAAAAAGAAAAGGAUUUGUAGAACUGGUCCCCGUGGGUUUGCAGCCUACCAGGAAUCACUGGGAGCAAGGCAGGAAAUACCCUUUCUGGACAGGGCACCACUCCAAUGCAAGGUUGUCAGCGAACUCCUCCAGGCCCUUUUUUAUAAUCUGUACUCCAUGUGUGUGGCAUGUCAGUCG
rnacentral:lncRNA from 1 species